rnacentral:tRNA from 7 species
AUAAACAUAUUAAUGCUUUGUAAAAAGUUAGAAGCUUUUUUAAACAUAUUUCUUU